rnacentral:miRNA from 1 species
GACAACCUCAUCUAUUAGAAGGAAUCCUUCCAAUCAAUGAGGUUCACAACAACCUCAUUGAUUGGAAGGAAUGCCUUCCGAUUGAUGAGGUUGUU